AAUGGGUAACUGGCUGGACUAAACGGUGCAUAUUCCCAAACGCUGGCUAAAAGGCGGAGACAAAGAGAAAAGAGCAGCAUGACUGUGAAUCAUCUGAUACCCAGGCUUUGGGAACAGGUGUUUCAGACAUGCCUGAACUCCAAGGAAAUCAGCAAGGAUUUGGGAAGAUUCAGAACAGCACACUGUAAUACCUGCCUCUAAAGUGAACCUGUGUCCACAGCUGUGAAACAGAGGGUCCAGGUUUUGGAGAGUUAGCUACACAAUUUUAUUAUGCAAAAAAUGCUACAGAUCAACAUGAUUGGAUUUCCUUCCUCUCUCUCAUCUGUGAAAUUGUCAAGAGCAAAUCCCAGAAGGUAAACCAGGCAAAAGAAUAGCAUGGAGCUCCCCGGCAGCUAGGAUCUGUCAAUGGUUAUCAUUCAAGGAAACGGAGUGCCUUGCUCAGACUAUUGGAAACUUGAUUGAUCUUACUUUGACUGUCUUUCAUCCACUGUAUCUUCAGUAACAUAGAAGCUGCUUUGCAAAUCAUAGAGCCAAUUAUUCUUAAGUAGAGCUGGUGGGAAAUUUUUCAAGGAAACUUUUUCCAUCAAAAAAAAAUGCUGGUUUGUCAAAACAGAAAUUA
rnacentral:lncRNA from 1 species